UUAGAGUUUGAUCCUGGCUCAGGACGAACGCUGGCGGCGUGCUUAACACAUGCAAGUCACGGGGGCUCGCAAGGGCAACCGGCGAACGGGUGCGUAACACGUGAGGGACCUGCCUGGAAACGGGGGAUAGCCGGCCCAACGGCCGGGUAAUACCGCAUACGCUCUUCGCGAGGCAUCUCGUGGAGAGGAAACCUCCGGGGUUUUCAGAGGGCCUCGCGGCCUAUCAGCCAGUUGGCGGGGUAAUGGCCCACCAAGGCGACGACGGGUAGCUGGUCUGAGAGGAUGGCCAGCCACAUUGGGACUGAGAGACGGCCCAGACUCCUACGGGAGGCAGCAGUGGGGAAUCUUGCGCAAUGGCCGAAAGGCUGACGCAGCGACGCCGCGUGUGGGAGGAAGCUCUUCGGGGUGUAAACCACUGUUGCCCGGGACGAACGAUGAGCAUUGGCUCAUGUGACGGUACCAGGUGAGGAAGCACCGGCUAACUCUGUGCCAGCAGCCGCGGUAAUACAGAGGGUGCGAGCGUUGUCCGGAAUCACUGGGCGU
rnacentral:rRNA from 1 species